rnacentral:rRNA from 1 species
UACGGAGGGUGCGAGCGUUAAUCGGAAUUACUGGGCGUAAAGCGCGUGCAGGCGGUCUGUUAAGCAAGGUGUGAAAGCCCGGGGCUCAACCUCGGAACAGCAUUUUGAACUGGCAGACUAGAGUCUUGUAGAGGGGGUAGAAUUUCAGGUGUAGCGGUGAAAUGCGUGGAGAUCUGAAGGAAUACCGGUGGCGAAGGCGGCCCCCUCGGACGAAAGAAC